UACGUAGGUGGCAAGCGUUGUCCGGAAUUAUUGGGCGUAAAGCGCGCGUAGGCGGUCCUUUAAGUCUGAUGUGAAAGCCCACGGCUCAACCGUGGAGGGUCAUUGGAAACUGGGCGACUUGAGUGCAGGAGAGAAGAGUGGAAUUCCACGUGUAGCGGUGAAAUGCGUAGAGAUGUGGAGGAACACCAGUGGCGAAGGCGACUCUUUGGCCUGUAACUGACGCUGAGGCGCGAAAGCGUGGGGAGCAAACAGG
rnacentral:rRNA from 1 species